AUAGCAGUGAUAUGACACAUCAGUUCUCCUACAGAUUGAACCAAUGGGUAACAUGUACAGCGAGAACAAUAAUGGCGCCAAAAUUGAACCUUGAGGAACACCACAUGAAGAACAUGCUACAGAAGAGGAGUAUUGCCCAAUACUGUCUGAAAAUCUUCUGUUGGACAAAAAGGACCGAAACCAGACAAAUUGUUAAGGGUGCUCUUUCUUCAUUUAAAAGCAGACAAUGACCAGUCUCCGUCAAACUCUAUAACCCUGUGAAAUCA
ensembl:lncRNA